GUUGCAAUUGUCACAACACUAUAACACCCCAAACACCCCUCUCCCUCAGCAGCCACACACACACACUCCUCUCUCAUUUUCUCUCCUCUCUCUCUCUAGAGAACUAAAAGAAGAAGAAGAAGGAGAAGGAGGAGGUGGUGAGGCUUGGGAUUUUGGAGCUUUGGUGGUUCUCGGAGCUCUCCAACAAGAAGAAGCUUGCUAGGGCUUGGAUAAAGGUGAGUUUAAUCACUUAUUUGAGUCUAGGGUUUGGACUUUAACCCAAAGUUUUAGGGUUUUGAGCUUGUUUCUAGAUUUAGAAACCUUGAGGAGCUAUGAAACCAUGAAAUCCGUGGUUUUCAUGAAGCCCUCUCAUGGUGGAUCACUAGGGCUCAAAGUAGAUGCCCUAGGGUUGGUUCAAAUGGGUUAAGGAGGGUAUUAGAAAGCUUCUAGGUUGAUUCUAAGCUAUCUUUUGCUUAGCAAUGAGAUCAAUCUAGGGGAUAUGCCAAAAUGACAUUGUUAGGGUUUG
rnacentral:lncRNA from 1 species